GAAUUAACCAGUCCAACCUCUUAUUUUAAAUCAAUUUCAAUCCAUUUAGUUAUAAAAACAACAUAUUAACUAUACUUUUAAGUUUAUUUUUUCUAUCAACCAUUUCAAUGUGGGAUAUAAAACUAUAAUGUUGAAAAAUACACUACUUUUAUCAUCAAACAAGAGCAUAAAAUGUUAAAAAAAUAAUAAAAGAAAAAGAAAAAGAAGAA
rnacentral:lncRNA from 1 species